rnacentral:ncRNA from 1 species
AGCUACUAAGAUAAAAACACGGUUCUGGUUGGUAGUCCAGACAUAGGUUUGUCUCGUUUUCGCGAGGCUGUGAAUCCUAUCAGUAACCUUCCUCCUUGGGUUGUCCGUUCUUGGGGAUUUUUUA